rnacentral:rRNA from 1 species
GGUUAAGCGACUAAGCGUACACGGUGGAUGCCCUGGCAGUCAGAGGCGAUGAAGGACGUGCUAAUCUGCGAUAAGCGUCGGUAAGGUGAUAUGAACCGUUAUAACCGGCGAUUUCCGAAUGGGGAAACCCAGUGUGUUUCGACACACUAUCAUUAACUGAAUCCAUAGGUUAAUGAGGCGAACCGGGGGAACUGAAACAUCUAAGUACCCCGAGGAAAAGAAAUCAACCGAGAUUCCCCCAGUAGCGGCGAGCGAACGGGGAGGAGCCCAGAGCCUGAAUCAGUGUGUGUGUUAGUGGAAGCGUCUGGAAAGGCGCGCGAUACAGGGUGACAGCCCCGUACACAAAAAUGCACAUAUUGUGAGCUCGAUGAGUAGGGCGGGACACGUGGUAUCCUGUCUGAAUAUGGGGGGACCAUCCUCCAAGGCUAAAUACUCCUGACUGACCGAUAGUGAACCAGUACCGUGAGGGAAAGGCGAAAAGAACCCCGGCGAGGGGAGUGAAAAAGAACCUGAAACCGUGUACGUACAAGCAGUGGGAGCCUCUUUUAUGGGGUGACUGCGUACCUUUUGUAUAAUGGGUCAGCGACUUAUAUUCUGUAGCAAGGUUAACCGAAUAGGGGAGCCGAAGGGAAACCGAGUCUUAACUGGGCGUUAAGUUGCAGGGUAUAGACCCGAAACCCGGUGAUCUAGCCAUGGGCAGGUUGAAGGUUGGGUAACACUAACUGGAGGACCGAACCGACUAAUGUUGAAAAAUUAGCGGAUGACUUGUGGCUGGGGGUGAAAGGCCAAUCAAACCGGGAGAUAGCUGGUUCUCCCCGAAAGCUAUUUAGGUAGCGCCUCGUGAAUUCAUCUCCGGGGGUAGAGCACUGUUUCGGCAAGGGGGUCAUCCCGACUUACCAACCCGAUGCAAACUGCGAAUACCGGAGAAUGUUAUCACGGGAGACACACGGCGGGUGCUAACGUCCGUCGUGAAGAGGGAAACAACCCAGACCGCCAGCUAAGGUCCCAAAGUCAUGGUUAAGUGGGAAACGAUGUGGGAAGGCCCAGACAGCCAGGAUGUUGGCUUAGAAGCAGCCAUCAUUUAAAGAAAGCGUAAUAGCUCACUGGUCGAGUCGGCCUGCGCGGAAGAUGUAACGGGGCUAAACCAUGCACCGAAGCUGCGGCAGCGACACUAUGUGUUGUUGGGUAGGGGAGCGUUCUGUAAGCCUGUGAAGGUGUGCUGUGAGGCAUGCUGGAGGUAUCAGAAGUGCGAAUGCUGACAUAAGUAACGAUAAAGCGGGUGAAAAGCCCGCUCGCCGGAAGACCAAGGGUUCCUGUCCAACGUUAAUCGGGGCAGGGUGAGUCGACCCCUAAGGCGAGGCCGAAAGGCGUAGUCGAUGGGAAACAGGUUAAUAUUCCUGUACUUGGUGUUACUGCGAAGGGGGGACGGAGAAGGCUAUGUUGGCCGGGCGACGGUUGUCCCGGUUUAAGCGUGUAGGCUGGUUUUCCAGGCAAAUCCGGAAAAUCAAGGCUGAGGCGUGAUGACGAGGCACUACGGUGCUGAAGCAACAAAUGCCCUGCUUCCAGGAAAAGCCUCUAAGCAUCAGGUAACAUCAAAUCGUACCCCAAACCGACACAGGUGGUCAGGUAGAGAAUACCAAGGCGCUUGAGAGAACUCGGGUGAAGGAACUAGGCAAAAUGGUGCCGUAACUUCGGGAGAAGGCACGCUGAUAUGUAGGUGAAGUCCCUCGCGGAUGGAGCUGAAAUCAGUCGAAGAUACCAGCUGGCUGCAACUGUUUAUUAAAAACACAGCACUGUGCAAACACGAAAGUGGACGUAUACGGUGUGACGCCUGCCCGGUGCCGGAAGGUUAAUUGAUGGGGUCAGCGCAAGCGAAGCUCUUGAUCGAAGCCCCGGUAAACGGCGGCCGUAACUAUAACGGUCCUAAGGUAGCGAAAUUCCUUGUCGGGUAAGUUCCGACCUGCACGAAUGGCGUAAUGAUGGCCAGGCUGUCUCCACCCGAGACUCAGUGAAAUUGAACUCGCUGUGAAGAUGCAGUGUACCCGCGGCAAGACGGAAAGACCCCGUGAACCUUUACUAUAGCUUGACACUGAACAUUGAGCCUUGAUGUGUAGGAUAGGUGGGAGGCUUAGAAGUGUGGACGCCAGUCUGCAUGGAGCCGACCUUGAAAUACCACCCUUUAAUGUUUGAUGUUCUAACGUGGACCCGUGAUCCGGGUUGCGGACAGUGUCUGGUGGGUAGUUUGACUGGGGCGGUCUCCUCCUAAAGAGUAACGGAGGAGCACGAAGGUUGGCUAAUCCUGGUCGGACAUCAGGAGGUUAGUGCAAUGGCAUAAGCCAGCUUGACUGCGAGCGUGACGGCGCGAGCAGGUGCGAAAGCAGGUCAUAGUGAUCCGGUGGUUCUGAAUGGAAGGGCCAUCGCUCAACGGAUAAAAGGUACUCCGGGGAUAACAGGCUGAUACCGCCCAAGAGUUCAUAUCGACGGCGGUGUUUGGCACCUCGAUGUCGGCUCAUCACAUCCUGGGGCUGAAGUAGGUCCCAAGGGUAUGGCUGUUCGCCAUUUAAAGUGGUACGCGAGCUGGGUUUAGAACGUCGUGAGACAGUUCGGUCCCUAUCUGCCGUGGGCGCUGGAGAACUGAGGGGGGCUGCUCCUAGUACGAGAGGACCGGAGUGGACGCAUCACUGGUGUUCGGGUUGUCAUGCCAAUGGCACUGCCCGGUAGCUAAAUGCGGAAGAGAUAAGUGCUGAAAGCAUCUAAGCACGAAACUUGCCCCGAGAUGAGUUCUCCCUGACCCUUUAAGGGUCCUGAAGGAACGUUGAAGACGACGACGUUGAUAGGCCAGGUGUGUAAGCGCAGCGAUGCGUUGAGCUAACCGGUACUAAUGAACCGUGAGGCUUAACCUU